rnacentral:lncRNA from 1 species
GUGAUAUUAUGGAAGGAAAAUUAACUAUAGAUGAAUGUACAGAUUCACUAUUUAAGAUGAAAUUGAACAAAUCACCUGGAAUUGAUGGUUUAAGCGUAGAAUUUUAUAGAACAUUUUGGGAAGAAUUAAAAGAAUUCAUUGUAUCCACAUUUAAUUUUUCAUAUAAAAAAGGGGAGCUAACAACUUCUCAGAAAUUAGGAGUUAUCUCUCUUAUCCAUAAAAAAAAUGAUCCACUGAGUUUAGAUAACUAUAGACCCAUAACUUUAUUAAAUGUAGAUACAAAAUUAAUAGCAUAUUCAUUAGCUCAGCGCAUUAAAAAUGUCUUACCAAAAAUUAUCCAUGAAGAUCAAAAUGGGUAUGUAAAAAAUAGAUAUAUAGGUUAUAACAUCAGACAGAUCCAGGAUAUAAUUGAUUAUGCAGAAAAAUUUAAUAUAGAAGGAGCAUUAUU